GCCGGGGUGGUGAAACUGGUAGACACGCCGGAUUCAAAAUCCGGUUUCUUCGGAAGUGCCGGUUCGAGUCCGGCCCUCGGUACCA
rnacentral:tRNA from 1 species